GGUGGACCCAAUGUAAUCACAAAUAUUCUUAAGUGUGGAGGAGGGAGGCAGAGUCAGAGAAGGACUGGUGACAAUGGAAAUAGAGGUUGGAAACAGUGAUGUACCUUAUAGAUGGAGGAAGGGGCCACGAGCCACGGAAGGCAGGAAGCCUCUAGAAGCUGGCAAAGGCAAAGAAAUGGGUCCUUCCCUGGAGCCUCCAGAAGGAAUGCAGCCCAGCUAAACCUUGAUUUUUAGCCCACUGAGACCCAUUUUGAACUUCUGAAUCCCUGAACUGCAGACCUCGUUUCAUUGACCUUCGCAGACACUGCGUUUUGUACAAGAUCCUCCACCAGUAAAAAAAAAGUACGACUCACUGAAGCCUCAGAGGAUGGGUAGCAUUUUUUUAGCAAUAAAAUAUUUUUUGAAUUAAAGUAUGCACAUUUUUUUAGACAGAAUGCUACUGUACACUUAAUCGACCACAGUAUAGUGUAAACAGAACUUUUUUUUUUUCUGAGGAAGAUUCACCCUGAGCUAACAUCUGUGCCAAUCAUCCCCUAUUUUUUAGUAUGUGGGCUGCGAGCACAGCAUGGCUGCUAACAGAGUGUUGUAGGUCCAUGCCUGGGAACCGAACCUGGGCCGCCGAAGUAGAGUGUGCUGAACUUAACCACUAAGGCACCAGGGCUGGCCAAACAUAACUUUUAUAUGCACUGGGAAAACAAAACAUUUGUGUGACUUGCUUUAUUGUGGUAUUUGCUUUAUUGUGGUGGUCUGGAACUGAAUUCUCAGCAUCUCCAAGGUAUGCCUGUAUACUUAUUUUGCUAUUUUCCCCCUAAAUGCUCCAAGAGAUAUGUCAAGUUCCUUGCAAUAACUUUUCCCGAUUCUCAACCACAUGCAGUCACCCACUAUCGAUUCCAUAUCUCCUCGGGCGAUUUCCCUUGGGGAGCUGGUGGCCUCCUACUCCGAUCUGGACAUCCACUUUCUCACACAUCCACUCUCUAUGCCUCUACACAGGCAUCAUCUAUCCCACACUUUCCUGUGGCUUUCGUCUGAGUUGGAGCCCCUGUUUCCUGGAUUCCAGGUUUCCUUCCAGCUUGUACUCCCUAAAAUUUUGGAGAUAGCUUCACGUGAAUGGGGACAUGGGAGCUAAAUAAUUUGUCCUU
rnacentral:lncRNA from 1 species